rnacentral:rRNA from 1 species
UACGGAGGGUGCAAGCGUUAUCCGGAUUUACUGGGCUUAAAGGGUGUGUAGGCGGACUUUUAAGUCAGCGGUGAAAUCUCCGGGCUCAACCCGGAAACUGCCAUUGAUACUAUUAGUCUUGAAUGUUGUUGAGGUGGGCGGAACGGGUCAUGUAGCGGUGAAAUGCAUAGAUAUGACCCGGAACACCGAUUGCGAAGGCAGCCCACUAAGCAACUAUUGACGCUGAGGCACGAAAGCGUGGGGAUCAAACAGG